UAUCAUUUUCCUGUCAAAAAACUGAUUCUUUUGUGUUUUUCAAUGUUAAAAACAAGCGAAAAGAAAUAUCAGUGAAUUUUAAUAAUUAUCGAAAUGUGCACGUGUUUGCAUGUAGCUCUAAGUAUCACGUGUUCGCUGAAGUUGAAUUGAAGGAUCAGAUAAUUUGCUGUAUGUGGCAUGAAGACAAACUUGUUAAUGGUUGGGAUGACGUAAUUAAGGAGGAAAUAACCAAUUUGAUCGCCGACAAAGACGAUGGAGAGUACAUGCGUGAUAAUACUCCCUCUAUAAAUUACGCUGCUUUUGCGCCUUUAGCAGAUAAAUUAUUAAUAGCAUCAAGUCAAGCAUCAGUGGACAUAUUGCAAGUUACUUUAGCAAAGUUUGAUAUGUUUAUCGCUUGUCUAUAAAAUUCCAUCGUGUACUCUAUAUUCAAACGAUAAUACAAGAAAGAGAAGCUUUAUUUCAGGAAGUGACGUAAUGAAAGAUAUGAAAAAUUUAUGUACAAUGGUUCUCUGUGGAUUUAUUGUUGUACAUUGUAACGUCACCAGGUCACGUGUUCAUUGAAAUGUCAUCUGUUGUUAAUAGUGGAAGAUAUGAACUUUUACAUUUUUAACUGUUCACUUUGUUCACUUUUUAUAAAACUUAAGCGUGAAAAUUAUCAUCUCAUGUGGACGUUUUGAUGUGAACAUAACGCAUAAGUAAUCAUGAGAGUGAAUAAAAAGAAUUCGAUUUUACUACAUUGUGGCUAUUGGAGAUGGCUAAAGGGAUUUCUUUGCUGCGUCUAUAAUUGAAGCUGCUUCUUGAUGCACACUGUCAUUGUGAAUACCAUAACAUUCGAUUGCUUUUGCGCAUGCUCUGUAAUAUAUAUUUACUUGAAUGAUACUAUAACAUUUGUGAUAUGAAUUAAGAUCUUGACAGCAACAUGUCAUGAAAAUUCAAAGCAAAAGUCAACUAUGGAUGGUUGUAGAAUAAAAGUGAUCAGUUUAGUUCAUAUGAAUGGUCAAUAAAUCAUUUACAACAAAAAUGACUUUAACUUUAAAGAACUACAUCAAGUUACGAGAAGGAGAAGUUUGGAAAAUUUUAUCGUCUUUCUCUUUCAAGAUGUGAUAUUUCUAGAUCCACUGUGUUGUAUUUUUUAUGUAGUGAACAAUUUUAAAUCAUUCAAUUUUAUUUCUUAUUGUUGUGCACAUAACUACGUAUUUUGAAUAGAUAUCUUUUAUAACAACUCAUAAACGGACAUCUACCGUAAGCAGACAUUAGGUCGUGGUCUCAAGGAUGUCGUUUUACGAGUAGCUAAACUGUAUAAAAACUUUUCGUUUUUAUUCAUUAUAUUUGCGUUUCUUGA